UUAAAAGUCAUUGCGAAUAUUUUUCAAAAUUUCAAGCUCAAAAAAAUCAUUGCAAAGCGCUGCACUGCAUGCAACGCAACAAACCCACAGCAUACCGGCGCUAUCGCAGCAUUUUGAAUAGCCAAACAAUCGCCGCUGGCGUCCAAAAAAUCAGUUAGCUAAACGGUACAAGUUCGGGUACACGAACAAAACUUUGCGCGUUUCUUAUCAGUUUCCAAUACCGCGCUACGCACUCGUAUUUGCAUUGCGUAACAGCGUACGCUACUGAAGUUCGCUGAGGUCCACGUUCGCUGCCCAUGCGCGUAUCGCUAAUCGGGUCACGUUGCAUUUCCUUUUCAAGUCACUUGCGUCGGUACGAAUCGGUAUUGCUUUCUCCGGUGUUAGUUGCUCUCCUACGUCAAGCGUCCGUUAGCUAGCACUCAUAACGGAAUAUAGUAAAAAUAAUGGCAAAUCUUUUAAAUCGCGCACGUGAUAAUUUUUUUGGCAAUAACAACAACAACAAUAAUCAACAUAUACACGACGAGGGUGUCGUAAUGCCCGAAAUCGAUCACGAGAUGGACGAUGAUGACGUUGACGACCCGUUGACGUUGAGCGCACCGAAACGUUCCCUCAGCGCCACCAUGAGCGAUCAUGCGCUCAACACACUGAACGAGCUGCGACGCAACAAUUUAUUAUGUGAUGCCGUGGUUUCGGUGUCCGAUGCAUCCUUCAAUGUACAUCGCGCCAUUAUGAGCGCAUGCAGUUCGUAUUUUAGGGCACAGUUUACAGGCUUCAAUUCCACCAUAUCGCCAUCGAAGAGUGACGAGAAUCGUUCCGUACACAUACCGGGCAUGAGCGGUGCCAUUAUGGAGCAGCUAAUACAGUAUGCGUACCUGCGCAAGUGCACCAUCAAUGCGGAGAACGUGCAUGAAUUGCUCAUCUCGGCCGAUUAUGUGGGCAUGAUUGGAUUGGUGACGCUGUGUAAGCAGCAUCUAGCCGCGAUGUUGACGCCCGAGAAUUGUGUCAGCAUAAUGGGAUUCGCCAGAUUUCGCUUUCUCGACGACUUGUAUGCGAAAGCGCGAAAUUAUCUGCUGCGCUAUUUCAUUGAGGUUGCCGCUAAAAAUAAGGACAUACUCGAAAUGGGCUUAAAGGAUUUCUACGACAUUAUUAGCGACGAUGAGCUGAAUACACGCGAAGAGGACCACGUAUGGAAGCUGUGCAUCAAAUGGAUCGAUCACGACCCAGAAAAUCGUAAACAAUAUGUGGCGCAACUGAUGCAGGGCGUGCGCUUGGGUUUGAUGACACCAAAGUGUUUCAUGGACGAGGUGAAGGAGCAUCCGUAUGUACUGCAGUGUGACGAUGCGAAACCAUUGAUUGUGGAGACAUUUAAAUUUAUCUCUAAUUUAUAUGUGCCAUUUCGUAUGCCAUUUUCCAAAAAGCUCACCACACCACCGUUAGCCAUGCCAAGGCUGCCGCAUGAGGUCAUCUUCGCCAUUGGCGGCUGGAGUGGCGGCACAUCGAAGGGUUGCAUCGAAACAUAUGAUACGCGUGCCGAUCGUUGGGUCAAUAUACCGGCCGAAGAUCCAGCCGGACCGCGUGCUUAUCAUGGCACUGCCGUCAUUGGUUAUAAAAUCUAUUCGAUCGGUGGCUAUGAUGGUGUUGAAUAUUUCAAUACAUGUCGUGUCUUCGAUGCGGUGCGCAAGAAUUGGAAGGAGAUUGCACCAAUGCACUGCCGUCGCUGCUAUGUUAGCGUCGCUGAGCUUAACGGUCUCAUCUACGCAAUCGGCGGCUAUGAUGGUCAUAAUCGUUUGAAUACAGUCGAGCGUUAUAAUCCGAAAACGAAUCAGUGGACCGUUAUAACGCCUAUGAAUAUGCAACGAUCUGACGCAAGCGCAUGCACAUUAAAGGGAAAAAUUUAUGCAACGGGUGGCUUCAAUGGUCAAGAGUGUUUGGACAGUGCCGAAUACUAUGAUCCCGGCAACAAUAUCUGGACACGUAUACCGAAUAUGAAUCAUCGUCGCUCGGGCGUAUCUUGUGUAGCCUUUCGUGGACAACUUUAUGUGAUUGGCGGUUUUAAUGGCACAGCGCGUCUCUCUACAGGCGAACGUUAUGAUCCCGACACACAAACCUGGUCGUUCAUACGCGAAAUGAAUCAUUCGCGUAGUAAUUUCGGACUUGAAAUAAUAGAUGAUAUGAUUUUCGCCAUUGGCGGCUUCAAUGGCGUGUCCACAAUUUCACACACCGAAUGCUACGUUGCCGAGACGGACGAGUGGAUGGAAGCUACCGACAUGAAUGUGGUGCGCUCGGCGCUCACGGCCAACAAUGUAGCCGGCUUGCCGAAUAAACGUGAUUACAUACACAAGGAGCGUCAUCGUUUGAUGGAGGAGCGACGUCAACGGCUGCUGGCAAGCGCUAUGGCACGCGAUGCGGAGACCAUCUCUAUGUCGAAUGCCUCAGUGGAGGCGCAGGAUGCCGCUAUGGAUGAUUAUGAUAGUCCGAAUGAGGAUGACGAUGCCGACGAUGAAGAAGAUGCAGCUGGCAUAGUUAUUGCCGCAGCGGCAGCACUUGCACCAGUCAUUGAGGACCGUCACGAAGAUCUGCGUCCCGAUCCGAAUCGUCGCUUUCGCGUACAAUUGCGUUCGCAACGUUUCGGUUCACACCAUGAGAUACGACGACGCGCCUGAAAAGCCAGUUUAACAGGUUAAAAAGAGGGCUACCAAUGCCUGCAAAAUCAAACAAAAUUCUGGUAGCUACUUUAUGAAGUGGAUCAGCUGAUCUUCAAGAAGUGACAGUAAAAUUUAAAAUAUAUAGCAAAAAACAAAUUCUUUGUAAUAUAAAUGAAUAUGAAAGCAUGUCAAAACGGUACUUAACCAAAAACCAAAUACGAGUAUGUGAAGUAUGAAAGCUGAAUCCAUAUGACGAAUCAAGGCAAGAAACGGCACAUGGUUACCGCUUGACAGUAGGGACAGCAACGGAUUGGAUGAUAUCGAAGUUACAAGUGGGUGAAUAAUUAUAGCAGACGAUGAACGAAUGCAUUCGUAUGACCGAACAAAGAGUGUAAGAAUUGCUCACGAGCAAAAACGAUGAUAUUUUUUAAAUACUAUUUUUUACAUCAUUUGGCAUUGAAUGUAAUGUUGACCAAAUUUUUACGCAAUUGUACAAAAUUAUAUUUAGUGAUAUUUAAAAAAAAUCAAAAUUAAUAAAAGUUUGGUAACUUAAACGACUA
rnacentral:misc_RNA from 1 species